rnacentral:rRNA from 1 species
UACGGUAGGGCUGCGAAGCGUUGUCCGGAUUCAUCGUGGUGUAAAGGGUGCGUAGGCGGGAAGGCAAGUCAGAGGUGAAAUCUCACGGCUCAACCGUGAAACUGCCUUUGAUACUGCUUUUCUUGAGUUAGGGAGAGGUCGAUGGAAUUCCAGGUGUAGCGGUGAAAUGCGUAGAUAUCUGGAAGAACACCGGUGGCGAAGGCGGUCGACUGGCCCUAAACUGACGCUGAGGCACGAAAGCGUGGGGAUCAAACAGG